GGACGCCCGCACGGCAGCGAGGCUGAGGCCGGCGAGAAGCGGGAAGCAGGGAGCGGGACCGGGACUGGAUUUAGCCAUCCACCGAAAGGCCGAGGGUCGGCUGCUUUUAGUCUCUGCAGGUCUCCCGAGUUAGGGCGUAGGAGCUUGAGGAGUUCAGAAAGCGGGUUGCGGACUCCUGUCUGGGACUUUGGUUUGAGCCCUGGCUUCGGUCUUUCUCGCAUUUCUCCGCAAGGACGGUUCCUCUCAGUCUUUGCAGAAGUUGGGAACGUUGGGCUUUAUUUUCAUUGUUUGGUCGAGGGUCCCACUGUAUGUGAGCACUCGUUGUUCUGCGCCAGGCAUCGUGGAGAGAGCCUUGAGGUAGAAGCUGGGGGAGGGAGGGCUUAGGGAUGCUUGAGGUAUGUUCCUUACCCACCUGCAAUGUUGGAGGUUGAGGUGAAGAAUCUGGCUUUGAAUAUCUUCGUGGAAGACUACAUUAUUUUCAAUCCUGAAUCUGGUUCAGCCUUAUUGAUUUAUUACUGUAUUAAAAAUGUUUGUUUAAUUAGCUCUGGUGUUUGUUUUGGUAAAACCUUGCAAUUUAACAAGAACUUUAACAAAUAUCCAUUACAUUUUUCUUAUGAUACAGAAAAAUGUUAAUAUUUUCAAAUCCAUGUUAUUCCAUUUCAAAAUUUAAUUUGAUCAACUUCAUGCUAUCAGAAAAUGUGCUUUGAAUUGCUAAAUGAAUUGAAAUAUUAGAAAACACUUACCUCAGCA